UACGUAGGUGGCAAGCGUUUGUCCGGAUUUACUGGGCGUAAAGAGCGCGCAGGCGGUCGUUCAAGUCGCGUGUGAAAGCCCCCCGGCUCAACUGAGGAAGUGCACCCGAAACUGAGUGGCUAGAGUACGAAAGAGGGUCGCGGAAUUCCCGGUGUAGAGGUGAAAUUCGUAGAUAUCGGGAGGAACACCGGUGGCGAAGGCGGCGACCUGGGUCGAUACUGACGCUGAUGCGCGAAAGGCGUGGGGAGCAAACAGG
rnacentral:rRNA from 1 species